rnacentral:tRNA from 1 species
AGGUCCGUGGUCUAGUGGUAUGACGCUGCACUCACACUGCAGAGAUCCUGAGUUCGAUCCUCAGCGGACCUA